rnacentral:lncRNA from 1 species
UCGGAGGGUUCGUCUCUGAGUUCUUGCUCUUGGAUUCAAGCACCACGAGUUUCUCGCUUGUUUGAGUUUUGGUCUGCUUUAUGAUGAUGGGUUUGGAUGUUUUGUCAUUGGGUGUGCUUGGUUUGAGUAGAUCUGAGGAUUUCUUGGUGGUACCAGAACUGGACUUGGUUGAAUUUGAGGCCUUUGAGGUGGAAUUGAGCUUCUUGAGCUGUUUCGUGGCAGAGAUAGUGGGUGUCGUUUUCGUGGAGUUUGAGGAUUUUGCCGUGGAAUUGAGCUUCUUUAUCUGGGCUUUGUUGAGGAUAGUGGGUGUCGUUUUGGUCGAGUAAGUGGAGGGUUUGACGAGUUUGGUUUGGUUCUUGCUGGAAGAGGUCCCAUCGAGCUUCUUCUUUGGUUGAUCUUCUUUCUGUACCUCUUUGACGAGUUUGGUCUGGUUCUUGGUGGACAAGCUAGUGCUGGGUGUCUUCUUGGGCUGCUCUUCUUUCUCAAUCUCAAACACUCUCCUCCUCCCAAGAAACUGUGUUCUCCGAGGUUGGGCCUCGGAGCAGGCACAAACAAGAGUAGAAGCAAAGAGAAAUAAAACAAGAUAGAGCACAAGUACCUGUCUGAAACUGAAGUACCGAAGUGGAGCCAUG